CUGAGAGGGGCACAUUGAUCUGGGUCGCACGUUUGUGAAACCCACCUCCCACUUUCUUCCUCAGCCGUCCGAUGUGGUGAAUUUUUUCUCACCAGUUGCUUCUCUGGAUGAGUCUAUGGCGCCUGGGGCCAGCUACGUGCGGGGGCCAACGGUUAGAGACAGCCAAAUACACUCGUUCGGGUCGCCUUCCGUCUCCAUCCGCGGGACAGUGAAAACCUAGAUCGAGACAUCCAAAUCCGCUCCCCAAUCCCCGCCCCUCCCUCCUCGCCAAUCCUCGUCUCACCUCCUCCCGAAUCAGCGGAGGCCAGCGGCGCGCCGCCUCUCCCCCGAGAUCGAGCCGGUCGUGGGCAGGAUGAGGUGUUGCAGGAGCGCGCAUAGAGGAGGAGGGCGUCGGCGACGCCUCGUCCUCUCCUCUUCCCGUCCUCUCGUCUUCCUCCGUCCUUGACGUCCCACGGCUUGGGCGGCCCAUUUGGGUGGUGUCGUCGGGGGUGGCGGGUGGAGGCGAGGCGGGCGCGGCCGGAGACGGGCUGGCGCGGGGCGGAUCCGCGGCGGCAGCGACCGGAGGUGUUGGGCACGGCCGGAGACGGUCCGGCGCGGGGCGGAUCCGCGGCGGCGAGGCAGAGGAGGAACGGUCAAGAAUCGCAGUAGGAGGGGCGGGAUCCGGGGAGGACAUGCGGGAUCUGGUCAUGCCGGUUCUCCUCUGCGUUGCUGCUUGGGCUGCUCCCUCCUCGUGGCUGCCUCGUCUCCCCCAGGCUUUGGAAGAUUUGGAUGGAGCACAGGUCGGGAUUGGUGGUGCACAGGCGAGCUCGGACAGGGGCGGGCACAGGCGAGCUCCACCUACAGCAGGGAGCGUCACAUCCCAAUAUCUACCAGGGAUCUGCUGCAGACACUGUAGGCUUUGGAAGAUUUGAGCACAAGUCGGGAUGCUCCCGUUCAUCUUUGGUUGUUUCCUUUCCCCUCUCUCUACGUUUGGAAUCCCAUGCCAAAAUCGAAGGUCACAACCCCCAGGCGAACAUUGCUCCAUCUGAUCUCUUCGUGUCCUUUUUAUAAAAAUUCUAACAUGUUUGGUUGUCCAAUCUGUCAUUAUUUUCUUGUGGAUUAAUGAACAACUUUGUAGCGAUGCAGCAAAGCUAUCCUCCCGUGGGCCUUUCUUCCAAGAUUUUGGGAUGGGCUGUGUCUUGCUUGACAUGGGAGACGUUCACAUAAUGAGAGCUGCUCAAGGAUGCUUCUAUCCUCAACAUGAUUCCUGGAUACAACACAAUAUCAGCAGCAUAUGCAUCUUGUAGUCUUUGUUCUUUUUUUUUGUGAAAACUUCAGUAGUAUUCCUCUAUAUGCAGCUAUUUUUUUAGUUAAUGCUAAUUAUGACUAAAAUCUUAGCACAAAAUGCUUUUAUAUACAUCUAUAUUUAUCUAUAGCUGAUAUCAGGUUUUUGCAAUCAGAACAUGUAUUUGCUGCAGUCCAACAUAAAAGGCGAGGGUGCGCCGCGAGCACCGCCAAGCCGUGCGAGGAGCCUAGGCUAGACCAAUGCUGGAAUAGGGUCACACUUUUGUUUGGCACGCAGACAGAUGCUAUUUUUUCGGUUGCUUCGAUGUGUUAUAAUGGUUUCUCUGGUGCGAACACGAAUAUUUCUAUUGCAUAUGUACUCAGUGGCAUUCCAGGCAGACCAGCACCGACACAGUCUUCGCCAAGGCUAGGCGAGUUAUGAGAAUGAUGUGAGAUGGAAUUGAAGGUGAGCAAACAAUUGAAGCUUGUUAAAAAUGUAUGUACAGUGUGGCCCUCUAGCUAUAAAGUGAGGUGGAAAGCUAAGAUUACUUUCCUGACCAUUGAGGACUAUGAGAAUAUGAGUACAUCCAACAGAAACACAUUUUCAAGUCUGCCUACUUGGUGAGUGCAACGUCAACAGUGUCGCCAUUGUCUGACACCCUCAACACUGGCUGGAUGCGCUCAAUGUAGAAUUAUGUCAAUAAGCAGUCUGUCGUUGAUGGCCCACAUGAAUCGGCUCCUAAUAGCACGGAACCUGGACAACAACUGUUAAGUGGUUUGGUGCUAAGAGUGAGUACAAUGUUCUUGUUAUGUUCGUGUUGGGACCAAGCCUGGAACAUUUUUUCUGCUCUUGCAACAGAAAACUGUCGCUCAAAACUGUGGUUAUGCAAAUGGUGCUACUCUCGUUGAAAAUUAUUGGACUCGAAGAAUUUGAAAUGACUUUACCUGAUGAACCUGACGAAAGAGAGGGAUUAGUUUUCUCAAAUUUGUUGCACCUGACACUACCAAAAGCGCAUUUCAGAAUGGUGUCUUCAGCCUAUGCUCCCUUGGGGCGAGACGCCAUUCCAGCUCGUGUGUAUAAAGAUCCAGGAGAUAAAAGUGUUCCGCUGCUGACCAAGCUUGAUCCUUUUGACCACAUGAACUAUUGCAAUAUGAUGUUUAGAUUAUAUUGUCGGAGAAAGGUGUAGGCAAUUGGAAACUUCCUCAGUUUAGCAGUUUGAGGCAUAUAAUUUUCUUAUGUUGAAGGCAAGAUACAUCAUUAUUUCUUCUUGUGGCUGAAAGGGAUAGCAAGUGUCUUUGAGAUCCUAUCAGUAUUAAUUGAUGUAUACAGAGAUUAAAUUUUGACAUUCAUAUAUUUAUGAGGGGCUAGAAGACUGAUAUAUCAUUAUAUAGUAGGAAGUAAGAUAAUUACUUUUCCGUUGAUUCCCUUUUCGGAAAUUUUAUAUUCAUAUCUUUGAUAUCAACACUCGGAAGUUAACCCAUAUGAGUAUGUGAUCUACUAAAUAACACCGAGACAGUCCUAGGCAUGAGUGAAAUCAAGCUAAAUGAUUAGCAAGACCGUUUGGACUGAAUAAUGUUCCACGCGAGAGAAAUAGCAUGCUGAUAUUAUCCUGAAAUAAAAGCAUAGGGAGGGGACGAGUGCUAUCUGUGUGUUUAAUUUUCAUGACUAUGAAACUCAGCUCAUCCUUUCUUUGAUUCUGCACUUCGAUACUUGAAUUGCCUCUAUGGAGCCCACCCCGGGAGAGGUGGAGGCCUGCGGAUCGAGCCGGAUGGGGUGGCCGCCGUGGCGCGCGGGCGAAGAAGGAAAUGUUGUGGCACGUCCCUGAAGAGGGCAUCGGCGGUGGCACGCCAAUCGAGUCCACCACAUCCUGGGCCUCAAGAUCUUCUCCGGCUGUGGCGAUAGGAACCGCUUGCCGCCGUCGUCAAGGAAGCUGCACAAUAUGAUGGUGGUGGAUCCCGCAAGACCAGGGGAGUUUCCAUGAAAAGAAACGUGGUCAAUGGCUCUAGGGUGACGUGGACCUCCAGGACAAGGUAACGAGCAAAUGCUUCUUCGAGGCUGAGAUCGGCGGGGAGCGCGUGGGCGAGGUGGUCAUCAAACUCUUCGGCGAGGUCGUCCGAAAGACGGUUGACAACUUCCGUGCCCUGUGCACUGGUAUAGCAGGCUAAUCAAUACUAUGCAAAUUAGCGCUCUGUUUUGGUUGGGAAGGAGACAAAGGGUACGUAUACAAGGGCCGCUUCUUCCACCGAAUCAUCAAGGAUUUCAUGAUUAAGGGUGGGGAUUUCCAGGAAAACAAUGUCUGAAGAGCAUUAGUGUCCUCUGUUCAGCUUUUUCUCUUCGUCUAUUCGGCAGCCGCUGUUGGUGGAUGACGGCAGCCUCAGGUGGUGCAUGGUGGUGCCUGCCACAUUGCCUUGGGUCCUUAUGAAAAACAAACACAUAAUAUUGCUUUGGGUCCUGUUAUAGCAACAUUUUUGUUAUGGCCAAAACAUACCAUUUCUUUGUUACAAGAAGUCUGGGUUAGUAAAUGUAUAUCAUCUGAGUCACACUGGUCUGUGCGCCAUCAGCAACUUUAGAGUGGCACUCUUUUCGGAUUAGGGGUUUAUUCCAGGCUCAUUACACUCAGAGGAUAUAUCAACUACUCUUCUUAACACCAGGAGGAAUGAUGUCGCUUGCCAUGAAGUCGAAAACAACAACUAGGCCAAGUGUGUAGUAGUUGAUGGUGGAGAUUUGAAAUAUUGUUCGUGAAGGAUGCUGAUGUUAUCGCUAAACUCAAGGACUUCCUGAAAAAUAAUGUUUCUAUCAUCUAUGGAUGUCCUGAGUAUCUAUAAUGGGAUCUUACUCAAUACUUAAUUUGUUAUUCCUCUAUAUCCAGAUGCUAAUUGGAUAUACAUUUCACUCCAAAAAUUGAGAGGGCUGAUUCAAUUCCAAACCCACAGUCAAUUAUUCCAAACCCACUGAUGCCCUGUACUGUCAUGUGCAUGUCGGCUCUCAAAAGUACCAGCAACAUUUGAGAGCAUCAAGAGGAGAGUCGUCGGUGGUGAGCGUUGAGACGCUCCAUGCUUCUGACUACACCUCUUUGUUAUGGUAACCAGCGUGUUCAUAUAGUAUUUUCCUUUCCACCUCCAUCAGUAGUUGAAAAUUACAAGUUAGUGUUGAGAUCUUUCAAAUAUUAUUAGGAUACAAGGGAAAAAGCCUGUGGUUUGAUCAACUAUUGGUGUCUUGCUGUGGCUACUAUUGGGAGAUCAUGAAUGCUCUCUUCACACUCAGAAUUUGUACACAAUAAUAUUAUAUCUACUAUGGAAACUGGGGAAUAAGUGUCAAAACAGUUUUGUCAAGAAACCGAUUGAUGAUUUGGUAUAUUACAUAGGCCCAUUUUAUCACUUUCUUCCAGUUUAUGGCCUCUUUCUGAUGUCUUUUUUCCUUUGCCCGCUAUAAUUGAUGUAUUAGUACUCUACUGGUUCCUUAUACUCCUAUUUAGAGGUUUUCCCGUUUAUCA